GACGAACGCUGGCGGCGUGCCUAAUACAUGCGAGUCGAACGCACUCUCGUUUAGAUUGAAGGAGUUUGCUCCUGAUUGAUAAACAUUUGAGUGAGUGGCGGACGGGUGAGUAACACGUGGGUAACCUGCCCUAAAGUGGGGGAUAACAUUUGGAAACAGAUGCUAAUACCGCAUAAAACCUAACACCGCAUGGUGUAGGGUUGAAAGAUGGUUUCGGCUAUCACUUUAGGAUGGACCCGCGGUGCAUUAGUUAGUUGGUGAGGUAAAGGCUCACCAAGACCGUGAUGCAUAGCCGACCUGAGAGGGUAAUCGGCCACACUGGGACUGAGACACGGCCCAGACUCCUACGGGAGGCAGCAGUAGGGAAUCUUCCACAAUGGACGAAAGUCUGAUGGAGCAACGCCGCGUGAGUGAAGAAGGUUUUCGGAUCGUAAAACUCUGUUGUUGGAGAAGAAUGUAUCUGAUAGUAACUGAUCAGGUAGUGACGGUAUCCAACCAGAAAGCCACGGCUAACUACGUG
rnacentral:rRNA from 1 species